UGUUUGAUGGCUGAGUUGAAGGCGGUAGACUGUAGAUCUAUUGACGGAGUUAAUUCUCCUCAACAA
rnacentral:tRNA from 1 species